UAAGAAGUUUAUUGAUUUUGUGAGGUUAUUCUCUGUUUUUAGGAACCGGCUUUUUUAAUGUGAGUAUUUAUUUUUUAGAUUACAAGGAUCCAUUAUCUCAAUAUGAUAUCUAUUAAUCUAAUCGACCUAUAUAAUUACCAAAAAUAAAAUAAUAAAUCAUGGCCUAGUAGCUAGAAGAUUCGAAUUUUACAUCCGUAUUGCAAUAGCCUACAGCUAAAUAAUGCCAUUUUUAUUUGCCAUGAAAAAUAAUUUGGAAAUAUUUAUUAUCUAUUAUUUUUUGACUCAUAUAACUUUUUGUUGAACUCCUAAAUAACCAUAAUAUUAUUAUAUUGUAUUUUGGGCAUUCAAAUAACAAUUAUAAUGGUAAUUUCUUCUUGUUUAUUGCCGACACUGUAACUAUAAAGUGGGUAGCCUACCACUCGUAAAGUUAGAAAUGAAUUUGAUUGAAAUAAAAAUAGCAUAUUCUCAGGAUAUCCUGAUUUAUACUAAACACUCCUUGUCUUCUGCUUUUAGUGAGAUUCAAAAGAGUAGGACCUGAAGUAGGUACGUAAAGCUAUUUUUAAGCGCAAAUGUAUGUUAAUCCUAAUUCGCUAUUUUUAGUCUAAUCACAUGGCGAGAUUGUUACCGUAUCACACGUUUUCCUCUGUUUUUACAUACACUAUUUGUCUCAUAUAAUAACUUUGCAUUAUUUUAUCUUCUGUAGAAAAUAUGUAGUAAGAGACACGGUCACGCAUGGAUUUGUGAUCCUGUGAUCCAUAUCUUUGUUCAAGUUGCAUUGACUCUUUAUCAGAACAUCAAACAGCUUCCUGGAUCUGAUAUUCUUCACUCGCAUAUUCUUCCCAAAUAUCUGUCACUUCAACUUUUUCGAUAAAUACGAAUGAAUGAUGAAUGAAAUUGUUAUGUCAGUUAUUUCAUCUUAAGGUGAGUUGAGAGUUCCUGCGAGUUAUUUGCUUUACCGCAGUUCCCUGAUCAUUUACACAUUGAGCCCAGAUUGGAAAAAUCAAAUUCUGAUAAACAUUUAUGGAAGAGGAGUGGUCAUAAAAGUUGAUGGAGAAGAAGGAGGAGAUGAUAUUGGAAGAUGAUGAAAAGGAGGAAGAGGGAGCAAGAAACAAUGAAGAUGGCAUGCCAGGAUGUAUACAUCAGAGCAUCUGAAAAUCGUCUGAUAAUGGCUUUACUGCUGCCGCCAAGGCAUUACCGU
rnacentral:lncRNA from 1 species